CCUACGGGAGGCAGCAGUGAGGAAUAUUGGUCAAUGGACGCAAGUCUGAACCAGCCAUGCCGCGUGCAGGAUGACGGCUCUAUGAGUUGUAAACUGCUUUUGUACGAGGGUAAACCCCGAUACGUGUAUCGGGUUGAAAGUAUCGUACGAAUAAGGAUCGGCUAACUCCGUGCCAGCAGCCGCGGUAAUACGGAGGAUACGAGCGUUAUUCGGAUUUAUUGGGUUUAAAGGGUGCGUAGGCGGUAUGAUAAGUUAGAGGUGAAAUGUCGGGGCUCAACCCCGAAACUGCCGUUAAUACUGGUGGACUAGAGAGUAGUUGAGGUAGGCGGAAUGUAUGGUGUAGCGGUGAAAUGCUUAGAGAUC
rnacentral:rRNA from 1 species